GAGACUCUCCAACUGGUUAAUUUUAAUAAUGGCCGUUUGAGACCAAAUGGAACCCCAAAAUAUUAUGAAAUCAUUUAAUUUAAGUUUGGACUGUUUUAAUUGCUUCAAUGAUUUAAUUUGAAACUAAGUUUAGGACUCCAUGGGCCUUUAGGCUGCUAGGCGGCAAUAGGAGACAUUGGACUGCUCUACCCUAGGUUUGCAAGGAGCGACCACCGGGAAUGGGGAACGUGAUGAGUUUAGUAGGAU
rnacentral:lncRNA from 1 species